rnacentral:rRNA from 1 species
GAUGAACGCUAGCGGCAGGCCUAAUACAUGCGAGUCGGACGGGAUUCAGGAGCUUGCUUCUGAUGAGAGUGGCGCACGGGUGCGUAACACGUAUGUAACCUACCUUUAUCAGGGGGAUAGCCUCUCGAAAGAGAGAUUAAGCCCGCAUAAAAUCACAGCACAGCAUUGUGUAAUGAUCAAAUAUUUAUAGGAUAAAGAUAGGCAUGCGGAACAUUAGCUAGAUGGCGGGGUAACGGCCCACCAUGGCGACGAUGUUUAGGGGAUCUGAGAGGAUGGCCCCCCACACUGGUACUGAGACACGGACCAGACUCCUACGGGAGGCAGCAGUAAGGAAUAUUGGUCAAUGGGCGGAAGCCUGAACCAGCCAUGCCGCGUGCAGGAAGACGGCCCUACGGGUUGUAAACUGCUUUUAUACGGGAAUAAACCCAGAUACGUGUAUCUGGCUGAAUGUACUGUAAGAAUAAGGAUCGGCUAACUCCGUG